rnacentral:rRNA from 1 species
UACGUAGGGCGCGAGCGUUGUCCGGAAUUAUUGGGCGUAAAGAGCUCGUAGGCGGCCUGUUGCGUCCGCUGUGAAAUCCCAGGGCUCAACCCUGGGCGUGCAGUGGAUACGGGCAGGCUGGAGGCAGGCAGGGGAGAACGGAAUUCCCGGUGUAGCGGUGAAAUGCGUAGAUAUCUGGAGGAACACCGGUGGCGAAGGCGGCAUCCUGGACCGAUACUGACGCUGAGGAGCGAAAGCCAGGGGAGCAAACGGG